CUUUUCUCUCCACCAGAGAGCGCCAGGAUUCCCAGAGGUGCUGAUGCUGGGACUCGCCAGGAGUGUGCGCUUCUCCCGGGCAGUACAAACACCCGUGAGCCCCUCAGACAAAUGCUUGAGGACACUCAGACCAGCUGGCUUUGGGAAUGUGGGACAUCAGAAAGGACUUGCCAUCUGCCUGCAGAGCCUGCAAACCCCAGCAUGGUCUCUUCCUUCCAGCAGAAGCAUCCCUGGAUGUCAGUAAUCCCAGCAGGUUUUUAACACCAGUGGACUUCACUGGAGAGAUGCACAUGGCUGGGUGAGAACCUGACACCUCAACUAUCAGCUCAAGCUGCUGACUACAACCAGGGCUGCAUGACACUGAAGAGCUGAAUCCAUCCCAGAUCCUGCACUGACAAGACAGUAAUUAAUUGUUAAGGGUUUAUCAAUUUAAAGCAAAUUCUUUGUCAGCAGAAACUGACUUUCAAUGUAGUCUUUCAACACAUGGAAACUGAAAGGAAAAUAAAAGUUGUGUGUGUUGCUUCCUUACAGCCAA